AGUGAACGCUGGCGGUAGGCCUAACACAUGCAAGUCGAACGGCAGCACAGUAAGAGCCUGCUCUUACGGGUGGCGAGUGGCGGACGGGUGAGGAAUACAUCGGAAUCUACUUUUUCGUGGGGGAUAACGUAGGGAAACUUACGCUAAUACCGCAUACGACCUACGGGUGAAAGCAGGGGAUCUUCGGACCUUGCGCGAUUGAAUGAGCCGAUGUCGGAUUAGCUAGUUGGCGGGGUAAAGGCCCACCAAGGCGACGAUCCGUAGCUGGUCUGAGAGGAUGAUCAGCCACACUGGAACUGAGACACGGUCCAGACUCCUACGGGAGGCAGCAGUGGGGAAUAUUGGACAAUGGGCGCAAGCCUGAUCCAGCCAUACCGCGUGGGUGAAGAAGACCUUCGGGUUGUAAAGCCCUUUUGUUGGGAAAGAAAAGCAGCAGGUUAAUACCCCGCUGUUCUGACGGUACCCAAAGAAUAAGCACCGGCUAACUUCGUG
rnacentral:rRNA from 1 species